GUAACCUACCCGUGCCAGGCUGCCAACCACCGCCCUUGCACCUUAUCCCCAUCCCCUCGUCCUCGCGCUCAACCCACGGCCCUGGCGCCGUCGCCGCCGUAUUCGCUCUCCACCACGGUCCUGCUGCCGUCGCCGCCGUCCUCGCGCUCUCUCUGAGAUCCAGCCGCCAUCCUCGCGCUCCGCCCAUGAUGCAGCAACCGUCGCCGCGCUCUGCCCGGGAUCGAGCCGCCGUCCUCCGCGCUCUGCCUGAGAUCCAUCCGCCGUCCUCGCGCUCAUGGAUCCACCCCCUCCCCUGAUCCCCGUCCUCCAGCCCCCAACUUUGUCUGCCAUCUCCCUCGCGCUUCUCCCCUGCCGCUCCCCGGGCCCCAGCCCUACCAUGAGCUCUCCAUCCGUGCUCCCCGUUCCUACUGCCGCUGAUAGAGAUCCAUCCACGAGCUCUCCAUCCCGCUGCGCCCCUCCCAAAGCCAGCCGUCUGUUGCUGCAGAUAUCCGCACAGACUCGUCUUUUCCAAUAGGAGCGGUUGUACAUGAUGUUGAGCCUACAGGGCAGCAAGUACGUGGUACUACCUGUCAACGAGGACGAGGAGGUGGGCGAGCGGAGGGCGCCGAGGUGGACCCUGAGUCCAGUCAGCGUUUGAGGAGGCACAUUCCAAUUUUAUUCUCCAUCACUUUUGAAUACACUGGAUAUUUAUGAAUAACGGUGUCUUUGUUUGAUAUAAUUUUUUUAUGUGAGCACGGUGAAGUUUUCCUUUUUCAUGAAUAUGGCACUAGCAUUCAAACCUUAGGUUCAACAUAUAAUCUCAUCUUCCUCUGCAUCCACAUACCUUCAACUACUUGAAGCUGGAUAUGGUUUCCAGAGGGGAGUUGCAAGUUCCAAUCACAUUCAAACCUUAGAGGCCGCCUUGGUGCAGUGGCUAGAUAGUUUCAGAAUUCAGACUUUCAAUGUAAUUUUAUGAGAUGUUAAUGUUCAUUCUGGUUGAUGGCAUAAUAUUUGUUCUUUUGACAAGUUCAUUCAUUAUACUAACCAAGUACAUAACUUGCAGACCUUUGGCCUUUACUUUAUGAUUUGAUUUAUGGGAAGUCGAGUUAUCUAUAUUGAACACAUUUUUCCUUUUUUCCAGGAUGGUUGAUACAUGUCUACACAUUUUGUCAGAGCAAUUUGCAGUGGAAGAAGUAGCCUCAAACUGAUAAGAAGGCACCUGCUAUUUCACGGUUAUUGUUGUAGAUCAAGGAUGACAAGAAGGCAACUAAUGUACCAGGUGCAGGUACUAAACAUACGACAUACAUUAAGUUUAUUAUUUCUCUCUUAGAAAUAUACAUAGAUCAUUUUGAGCCUUGACUAGAGAGCCAGAUUUCUGCCUGAACUUAUAGCAUUACUAGAUAUGUUUUGUAUCUUGUUGAUAAAACACCACAUACUGCAGUUUAUAAUUAAAAAUAUGAAAAUGACACAACAUGAUUUGAAGCGCACAUACAUUGCUUAGGAGUUAAACAUACACACAUUAGUUUGGUGUUAUCCCUUUGGUGGUCACAAUCUGAAAAUCACAUGGCAUAAACUGAACUUCACAUAUUACAAUUUUUUUGGUCAGAACUUGUACAUUUUAGUUCUACUUCAUCAGAUAACGUACAAACACUUAUUUGUACCAUUAUUUUCAAACUUUGAAGAUCACAUCAGCUAACUUCGUAUUAGAACAAAUACAACUUCACAUUGGCUUAUCCUACUACAUUUUCUUGCAUGUAAGACGUUGAAUAAAAUUUGUAGAUAUGCUUGCCAUGGCGAAAUACUUAUUCUAUGCAUAUGUAGAUAUGUAUGCAUGAUGAUUCGUUUCAGCAUUUUAUAAAUAUUUGACCUCAUGUAUGACAGAACUAUGUUAUGUGUGUUAUGGAUAUAUGUCAUAAAUAGUUAAUUCUUGUGCUUCUCUCGGCUGCCAAUCUCCCUAUGAGCUUCAAAGCACUUGAGCUGAUUCCACUUUGUACCAAAUUCUUGUGGAGUAUUUUCAGGUAAUCAGCAACAGAUGUGAUGACUUUGAAGUGUUCUGGAGCAUUUGGCUGUCUAUAGUAUUUUGGACCAGCCAACUUAAUUGUAAUCGUGAAUCUUAUGUGUUUUCUAGACCAUUUGGUGCUCAAGUGUUAUGGAGUAGAAAUCUUGUGCUCAUGGAUGUUACUCAAUUAUUUGGACCAUCUAGUGUUUGAACUAUUUUAGACCAGUGAAUUGGGGUCCUUUUAUGUGACUUGUGUUUUCUGGAUGGUUGCCAAGAUGGCCAAGCUUUGCUUUUGUGAA